UACGAAGGGUGCAAACGUUGCUCGGAAUUAUUGGGCGUAAAGCGCACGUAGGCGGCUUUGCAAGUCGGAUGUGAAAUCCCUCGGCUUAACCAAGGAAGUGCAUCCGAAACUGCAGAGCUUGAGUACUUAAGAGGAUCGCGGAAUUCCCGGUGUAGAGGUGAAAUUCGUAGAUAUCGGGAGGAACACCAGUGGCGAAGGCGGCGAUCUGGGAAGAUACUGACGCUGAGGUGCGAAAGCGUGGGGAGCAAACGGG
rnacentral:rRNA from 1 species